rnacentral:rRNA from 1 species
CCUACGGGAGGCAGCAGUGAGGAAUAUUGGUCAAUGGACGAGAGUCUGAACCAGCCAAGUAGCGUGAAGGAUGACUGCCCUAUGGGUUGUAAACUUCUUUUAUAUGGGAAUAAAACGUUCCACGUGUGGGAUUUUGUAUGUACCAUAUGAAUAAGGAUCGGCUAACUCCGUGCCAGCAGCCGCGGUAAUACGGAGGAUCCGAGCGUUAUCCGGAUUUAUUGGGUUUAAAGGGAGCGUAGGUGGAUUGUUAAGUCAGUUGUGAAAGUUUGCGGCUCAACCGUAAAAUUGCAGUUGAAACUGGCAGUCUUGAGUACAGUAGAGGUGGGCGGAAUUCGUGGUGUAGCGGUGAAAUGCUUAGAUAUCACGAAGAACUCCGAUUGCGAAGGCAGUUCACUGGACUGCAACUGACACUGAGGCUCGAAAGUGUGGGUAUCAAACAGGAGUAGAUACCCGUGUAGUC